rnacentral:rRNA from 1 species
UAGGGAAUAUUGGGCAAUGGAUGCAAGUCUGACCCAGCCAUGCCGCGUGCCGGAUGAAGGCCCUCAGGGUUGUAAACGGCUUUUAUUCGGGAAGAAGAGCGAGGAUGCGUCCUUGUGUGACUGUACCGAAUGAAUAAGCACCGGCUAACUCCGUGCCAGCAGCCGCGGUAAUACGGAGGGUGCGAGCGUUGUCCGGAUUUAUUGGGUUUAAAGGGUGCGUAGGUGGCUUAAUAAGUCAGUGUUCAAAUACAGCCGCUCAACGGUUGAGGUGCCAUUGAUACUGUUAAGCUUGAAAAAAGUGGAGGCUGACGGAAUAGAUGGUGUAGCGGUGAAAUGCAUAGAUAUCAUCCAGAACACCGAUUGCGAAGGCAGGUGGCUACGAUUGAUUUGACACUGAGGAACGAAAGCAUGGGGAGCAAACA